UACGUAGGGCGCAAGCGUUGUCCGGAAUUACUGGGCGUAAAGCGCACGCAGGCGGUCUUUUAAGUUUGACGUGAAAGCUCCCGGCUUAACUGGGAGAGGUCGUUGAAGACUGGAAGACUUGAGGCAAUGAGAGGGGUGUAGAAUUCCCGGUGUAGUGGUGGAAUGCGUAGAUAUCGGGGGGAAUACCAGUGGCGAAAGCGGCACCCUAGCGUUAGCCUGACGCUCAUGUGCGAAAGCGUGGGGAGCGAACGGG
rnacentral:rRNA from 1 species